rnacentral:rRNA from 1 species
AGACCCGAAACCCGGUGAUCUAGCCAUGGGCAGGUUGAAGGUUGGGUAACACUAACUGGAGGACCGAACCGACUAAUGUUGAAAAAUUAGCGGAUGACCUGUGGCUGGGGGUGAAAGGCCAAUCAAACCGGGAGAUAGCUGGUUCUCCCCGAAAGCUAUUUAGGUAGCGCCUCGUGAACUCAUCUCCGGGGGUAGAGCACUGUUUCGGCUAGGGGGCCAUCCCGGCUUACCAACCCGAUGCAAACUGCGAAUACCGGAGAAUGUUAUCACGGGAGACACACGGCGGGUGCUAACGUCCGUCGUGAAGAGGGAAACAACCCAGACCGCCAGCUAAGGUCCCAAAGUCAUGGUUAAGUGGGAAACGAUGUGGGAAGGCCCAGACAGCCAGGAUGUUGGCUUAGAAGCAGCCAUCAUUUAAAGAAAGCGUAAUAGCUCACUGGUCGAGUCGGCCUGCGCGGAAGAUGUAACGGGGCUAAACCAUGCACCGAAGCUGCGGCAGCGAACGUAUCACUUAAAACGAUUCAGAAGAUUACGAUUGACGGAGCGAAGCGACGUCAAAGCGUAUACAAAGUCGAGUCGGUUUAAGGAUACGUUCGUUGGGUAGGGGAGCGUUCUGUAAGCCGUUGAAGGUGGCCUGUGAGGGUUGCUGGAGGUAUCAGAAGUGCGAAUGCUGACAUAAGUAACGAUAAAGCGGGUGAAAAGCCCGCUCGCCGGAAGACCAAGGGUUCCUGUCCAACGUUAAUCGGGGCAGGGUGAGUCGACCCCUAAGGCGAGGCCGAAAGGCGUAGUCGAUGGGAAACGGGUUAAUAUUCCCGUACUUGGUGUUACUGCGAAGGGGGGACGGAGAAGGCUAUGUUGGCCGGGCGACGGUUGUCCCGGUUUAAGCGUGUAGGCUGACUUUCCAGGCAAAUCCGGAGAGUCAAGGCUGAGGCGUGACGACGAGGCACCACGGUGCUGAAGCAACAAAUGCCCUGCUUCCAGGAAAAGCCUCUAAGCAUCAGGUAACAUCAAAUCGUACCCCAAACCGACACAGGUGGUCAGGUAGAGAAUACCAAGGCGCUUGAGAGAACUCGGGUGAAGGAACUAGGCAAAAUGGUGCCGUAACUUCGGGAGAAGGCACGCUGACACGUAGGUGAAGUGAUUUACUCAUGGAGCUGAAGUCAGUCGAAGAUACCAGCUGGCUGCAACUGUUUAUUAAAAACACAGCACUGUGCAAACACGAAAGUGGACGUAUACGGUGUGACGCCUGCCCGGUGCCGGAAGGUUAAUUGAUGGGGUCAGCGCAAGCGAAGCUCCUGAUCGAAGCCCCGGUAAACGGCGGCCGUAACUAUAACGGUCCUAAGGUAGCGAAAUUCCUUGUCGGGUAAGUUCCGACCUGCACGAAUGGCGUAAUGAUGGCCAGGCUGUCUCCACCCGAGACUCAGUGAAAUUGAACUCGCUGUGAAGAUGCAGUGUACCCGCGGCAAGACGGAAAGACCCCGUGAACCUUUACUAUAGCUUGACACUGAACAUUGAGCCUUGAUGUGUAGGAUAGGUGGGAGGCUUUGAAGCGUG